UAUAUUUUAGUGAAUUAAACACUUAAAUUUUUGAAUUUUAAAAAAAUAAUUAACUUUAUUAAAUAUAA
rnacentral:tRNA from 1 species